AACGAUAAUCUUAUAACUUUCCUUAGUGUUUUGCCAGCUCUGCUGAGGGAAUCUCAACAGUCUGAUAGCUCUAACCCAUUUCUGGUCCCUGCUCCUGGACUCCCCCGUCCCUCCCCUCUCAUCCAAACCCCUUCUGGUGUCCAUCCAUUAGGCCUUGACUCACCUUUGCUUCCUAGGGGCGACCUUCAGCUUCGCUUGCAGUUAUGGUCAUCUGCUCUCCACCUGACCCAUUUAUUUUGGCUUCUGGAUUUUGCUCCUAGAGAGGCCCCCUGCUUGGAUAGCUGCCUGGCCAGCUGCAGAGCCAGCUGUUUUCCAGACUUCAAGAAGCUUCCUGAGACCUCGCCAGAAGCAGAUAGUUCCAUAUCCGGACUUUCAAACCAUGUUCUGGGGUCAUCCAAACAUUCCAUCCUCCUGACUCCAUAAACUACUGGAUUCAUAACCGGCUCCAUACUUGAAAACAUGGGGAUUGGAAUUCGGGCUCUUUGUUCUGGUAAGCAUGUGACUGACUACAGCUGUCAACAUGGGCACCUCCAAAGUUACCUCGCAAAAACAAAGGUGUUUUGCAGUAUCAUGCUUCUUUUACAAUUUCCUGGGUCUCUACUGAAGAAAAGAAAGGUAAGGAAUUACCUACAAACCUGGUGCAAAUAGAAGAUCUGGCACCGCGUUUACGAUUAAUUGUGAGAUAGGUCCCAGGGAAAGAGGAGACAUGUUAAAGAAGGCAAUUAACAUAUGUGGACAGCGGGCCGGGCGCUGCAGCCCGUGCCUGUAAUCCCAGCACAUUGAGAAGCCGAGGUGGGUGGAUCACUUGAGGUCAGGAGUUUGAGACCACCCUGACCAAUAUGGUGAAACCCCGUCUUUACUAAAAAUACAAAAAAUAGCCAGGCAUGGUGGUAUGUACCUAUAAUCCCAGCUACUCAGGAGGCUGAGGCAGGCGUAUCACUUGAAUCCGGGAGGUGGAGGUUGCAGUGAGCCGAGAUUGCACCACAGUACUCCAGUGUGGGUGACAGAGCGAGACUCCGUCUAAAAAACAAAAAAAGAAUGUGGACAAUGAUUCCCAAUUUGGAAAAGAUGGGCCAACAACUCUUUUAGUUUGCCUUUUUCCCCCCUCAAUAUUUUGAGCAUGAAAUAUGUAUGUAACCACAUACAUAUUUCAUAUGUGUUUGGGAGACUAUGUUACCAGUAGUUUCAUCAGGAUAAUUUUAAUUUUCUUUUUUGUGUGUAUUUUUGUAUUUCUCACAUUUUCUACAAUGAAUGUGUAAAUUUUUUAGAAACUU
rnacentral:lncRNA from 1 species